rnacentral:rRNA from 1 species
AAUUCGGAUUAACACCGCAUAAAAUCACAGUCUAGCAUUAGACAAUGAUCAAAUAUUUAUAGGAUUAAGAUGGGCAUGCGUGUCAUUAGCUAGUUGGCGGGGUAACGGCCCACCAAGGCGACGAUGACUAGGGGAUCUGAGAGGAUGGCCCCCCACACUGGUACUGAGACACGGACCAGACUCCUACGGGAGGCAGCAGUAAGGAAUAUUGGUCAAUGGAGGGAACUCUGAACCAGCCAUGCCGCGUGCAGGAUGACUGCCCUCUGGGUUGUAAACUGCUUUUAUUCGGGAAUAAACCUACUUACGUGUAAGUAGCUGAAUGUACCGAAGGAAUAAGGAUCGGCUAACUCCGUGCCAGCAGCCGCGGUAAUACGGAGGAUCCGAGCGUUAUCCGGAUUUAUUGGGUUUAAAGGGUGCGUAGGCGGCUUAUUAAGUCAGGGGUGAAAGACGGUGGCUCAACCAUCGCAGUGCCUUUGAUACUGAUGAGCUUGAAUGGACUAGAGGUAGGCGGAAUGUGACAAGUAGCGGUGAAAUGCAUAGAUAUGUCACAGAACACCGAUUGCGAAGGCAGCUUACUAUGGUUUAAUUGACGCUGAUGCACGAAAGCGUGGGGAUCAAACAGGAUUAGAUACCCUGGUAGUCCACGCCCUAAACGAUGAAUACUCGCUGUUAGCGAUAUACAGUUAGCGGCUAAGCGAAAGCGUUAAGUAUUCCACCUGGGGAGUACGCCCGCAAGGGUGAAACUCAAAGGAAUUGACGGGGGCCCGCACAAGCGGAGGAGCAUGUGGUUUAAUUCGAUGAUACGCGAGGAACCUUACCCGGGCUUGAAAGUUACUGAAUAAACCAGAGAUGGUUUAGUCCUUCGGGACAGGAAACUAGGUGCUGCAUGGCUGUCGUCAGCUCGUGCCGUGAGGUGUUGGGUUAAGUCCCGCAACGAGCGCAACCCCUAUGUUUAGUUGCCAGCAUGUAAAGGUGGGGACUCUAAACAGACUGCCUGUGCAAACAGAGAGGAAGGAGGGGACGACGUCAAGUCAUCAUGGCCCUUACGUCCGGGGCUACACACGUGCUACAAUGGAUGGUACAGAGGGCAGCUAGCUUGCAAAAGCAUGCGAAUCUCAAAAAGCCAUUCACAGUUCGGAUAGAGGUCUGCAACUCGACCUCUUGAAGUUGGAUUCGCUAGUAAUCGCGUAG